rnacentral:rRNA from 1 species
GACGAACGCUGGCGGCGUGCUUAACACAUGCAAGUCGAACGGAAAGGCCCUGCUUUUGUGGGGUGCUCGAGUGGCGAACGGGUGAGUAACACGUGAGUAACCUGCCCUUGACUUUGGGAUAACUUCAGGAAACUGGGGCUAAUACCGGAUAGGAGCUCCUGCUGCAUGGUGGGGGUUGGAAAGUUUCGGCGGUUGGGGAUGGACUCGCGGCUUAUCAGCUUGUUGGUGGGGUAGUGGCUUACCAAGGCUUUGACGGGUAGCCGGCCUGAGAGGGUGGCCGGCCACAUUGGGACUGAGAUACGGCCCAGACUCCUACGGGAGGCAGCAGUGGGGAAUAUUGCACAAUGGGCGGAAGCCUGAUGCAGCAACGCCGCGUGCGGGAUGACGGCCUUCGGGUUGUAAACCGCUUUCGCCUGUGACGAAGCGUGAGCGACGGUAAUGGGUAAAGAAGCACCGGCUAACUACGUG